GAGUUUGAUCCUGGCUCAGAAUCAACGCUGGCGGCGUGCCUCAGACAUGCAAGUCGAACGAGAAAGUCCCCUUCGGGGGAUAAGUAAAGUGGCGUCCGGGUGAGUAACACGUAGGUAAUCUACCUUCGGGUGGGGAAUAACCCAGGGAAACUUGGGCUAACACCGCAUAAUGCAGCGGCACCACAUGGUGACAGUUGUUAAAGCGGGGGAUUUUAGGACCUCGCGCCUGAAGAGGAGCCUGCGGCGGAUUAGCUUGUUGGUAAGGUAACGGCUUACCAAGGCGACGAUCCGUAGCCGGCCUGAGAGGGCGGUCGGCCACACUGACACUGACAUACGGGUCAGACUCCUACGGGAGGCAGCAGUCGGGAAUUUUGGGCAAUGGGCGAAAGCCUGACCCAGCAACGCCGCGUGAAGGAUGAAAUCCCUCGGGAUGUAAACUUCGCAAGAAUGGGAAGAAUUAGUAGGGGCUAAUACCCCCUAUGAUGACGGUACCAUUUGUAAGCUCCGGCUAACUCCGUGCCAGCAGCCGCGGUAAUACGGGGGGAGCAAGCGUUGUUCGGAUUUACUGGGCGUAAAGGGCGCGUAGGCGGCCAGCGCAAGUCAGUUGUGAAAUCUCCGGGCUUAACUCGGAAAGGUCAACUGAUACUGCGCGGCUAGAGUGCGGAAGGGGCAACUGGAAUUCUCGGUGUAGCGGUGAAAU
rnacentral:rRNA from 1 species